GCGUGUCGUCAGCUCGUGUCGUGAGAUGUUGGGUUAAGUCCCGCAACGAGCGCAACCCUCGACCUUAGUUGCCAGCAUUCAGUUGGGCACUCUAAGGUGACUGCCGGCUAAAAGUCGGAGGAAGUGGGAUGACGUCAAAUCAUCAUGCCCCUUAUGACCUGGGCUACACACGUGCUACAAUGGGCGGUACAAAGGGUCGCGAACCCGCGAGGGGGAGCCAAUCCCAAAAAGCCGCUCUCAGUUCGGAUUGCAGGCUGCAACUCGCCUGCAUGAAGCCGGAAUCGCUAGUAAUCGCGGAUCAGCAUGCCGCGGUCGAAUACGUUCCCGGGCCUU
rnacentral:rRNA from 1 species